AGAGCAGCAUUGGGAGUAAAGCGGGCGCAGACGGUUACUUAAGCAGGAUGUGAAAUCCCCGGGCUCAACUUGGGAACUGCGUUCUGAACUGGGUGACUAGAGUGUGUCAGAGGGAGGUAGAAUUCCACGUGUAGCAGUGAAAUGCGUAGAGAUGUGGAGGAAUACCGAUGGCGAAGGCAGCCUCCUGGGAUAACACUGACGUUCAUGCCCGAAAGCGUGGGUAGCAAACAGGAUUAGAUACCCUGGUAGUCCACGCCCUAAACGAUGUCGAUUAGCUGUUGGGCAGCAUGACUGCUUAGUAGCGAAGCUAACGCGUGAAAUCGACCGCCUGGGGAGUACGGCCGCAAGGUUGAAACUUAAAAAUUGACGG
rnacentral:rRNA from 1 species